rnacentral:sRNA from 1 species
UAUGGGAUUUCUCCCCCCUCUGAUGAGUUGUUAGUAAGUCGGGAAACUUAACAGUAACAACACAACCAGUAUGAUGACGAACUUCAUCAUAA